rnacentral:lncRNA from 1 species
AGAAAAGCCACCCUGGGAGCAAAGCAAGUUAGGGUUGUAAGAGACAUUUCUGAGAUUAAAGCAGCCAGAUCUAUGAUGGGGUGGGUACGGGUGGUUAAAGAGAAACAGAACGUGAGAAUGACUCAUGAGACUAUUAAACUGACUUAACUGAAAUUUUAAAAAAGGGGGAAAUACCAACUACGAUGCACCCCCCCCACCCCCACCACACCAUGUUUUAAUGCUACUCAAGGUCUAUGGCUGGGAAAGGCCACUUGUUUUUCUUCAGUUAAUGCUGAGACUGUUUGUCUGCCAGAGAGGAAGAGGAGAUGAGGACACAGACAUACACAGAAGGAAGACCAUGUGAAGACACAGGGAGAAGGUGGCCAUCUUCAAGCCAACGAGAGAUGCCUCAGGAGGAGCCAACCCUGCUGACACCCUGAUCUCAGCCCUUCAGCCUCCAGGGGUACAAGAGAAUGAAUUUCUGCUGCUUCAGCCACUGUCUGUGGAACUUGGUUAUGGGAGACUAAUACAGUCAAUAAUUGGCCAUUGACUUUAUAUAAAAUGUCAAUAAAAG